GACGAACGCUGGCGGCGUGCCUAAUACAUGCAAGUCGAACGCUGAAGGAGGAGCUUGCUUCUCUGGAUGAGUUGCGAACGGGUGAGUAACGCGUAGGUAACCUGCCUGGUAGCGGGGGAUAACUAUUGGAAACGAUAGCUAAUACCGCAUAAGAGUAGAUGUUGCAUGACAUUUGCUUAAAAGGUGCAAUUGCAUCACUACCAGAUGGACCUGCGUUGUAUUAGCUAGUUGGUGGGGUAACGGCUCACCAAGGCGACGAUACAUAGCCGACCUGAGAGGGUGAUCGGCCACACUGGGACUGAGACACGGCCCAGACUCCUACGGGAGGCAGCAGUAGGGAAUCUUCGGCAAUGGACGGAAGUCUGACCGAGCAACGCCGCGUGAGGGAAGAAGGUUUUCGGAUCGUAAAGCUCUGUUGUAAGAGAAGAACGAGUGUGAGAGUGGAAAGUUCACACUGUGACGGUAUCUUACCAGAAAGGGACGGCUAACUACGUG
rnacentral:rRNA from 1 species